rnacentral:tRNA from 1 species
UCCCUGGCGGCUGAGAUAGUAAAGAAUCUGCCUGCAAUGCAGGAGACCCAGGUUUGAUCCCUGGGUGGGGAA